rnacentral:lncRNA from 12 species
GUGGCACGGGUGGUAAGCACUGGCCUGGGAGCCAAGGCCUGGGUUCUCGUUCUUGCGCAGCCUGGUGCAAGUCACUGUCCUCUUCACCACCCACCGCGGAGUUGGCUGCGAUGACUUCUAAAUGUCUCUCCGACCCUGAACUUCUUCUGCCAUGAGAGGUGCUUCAGGAACAGAGAGAAGUCACCUUAAAUCAUCGCAGCGCCCGUUGGACUCUGUUCUGCAGUCCUCCAGAAGAGGCUCCCGACCUCUCCCUACAACACCCCCCCAGAGGUGGGUAAACCCACUUCAUUGAGGCUUUUAAUUCCUGGGGUAAUCCCUUCCUUCCGAGCAGGCUGGGGGGGUGAGGAGACCCCUUGCAUCCAAAUCUUUGAUCUGGAUUGAAGCAAAAGAGAAAGGCUUCCAUAAAACUGUCAGGGAGAUGGGGAGGGGCCGAGAGAGAGGGCUAGUGGCGGUCACUUCACCUUUGAUCAGUCGCCCUGGCCCCCUUUUUACAGCCUAGGAUUAUGGGUUGAAGUGCCCUCCGGGUGGCCCCACAGGCGUCACGUGACUCUCGAACAAUCAGAUUAUUCUAAACGGUUAGAGGGAUUGUGCACAAAGGACUUUCAUUUUCAUUAAAGGAGAAAGAAAACCAAGAAAGGGAAAAAAAUAAAGCAUCGAUCCCAACCGUGAAGUUGAUUCCU